rnacentral:rRNA from 1 species
AUGGCCGCUCUCCUCGUUGAGCUGGCGAGAGGGGAACAAGUCGCUGGUGAAGAUGGGAGGGUGGAGACGCUGGUGAGGAUGCAGAACGGGCUCGAGGAGACAGCCCUGCACGAGGCGACCCGCGCUGCUCAGAUGCCCACGAUGGCUGAGCUGAUGGCAGCGGACCCCUUCCUCGCUCGCGUCCCGGACGACGGAACCGCGCCGUUGUUCCUCGCCGUCUCCCUGCGACAUGAGGAAAUCGCGCGGGAGCUCCACGAGAGAGACAAGAAGCUGUCAUACUCCGGGCCUGAUGGGCAGAAUGCUCUUCAUGCUGCAGUUCUUCGAAGCAGAGGUUGCGCCAGCUUACGUGACGCCCGUGGGAGAACUUUUCUCCAUGUUGCCGUCACGAAGAAAAGAUAUGAUAUAAUUCGGUAUGCGUGCCAGACACCCAUGUUUUCGUCAAUUAUGAACAAGCAAGAUAAUGAAGGAAACACUGCACUACAUCUAGCUGUGGAGGUUGGGGACUGGUGGAGUUUCACUUGUCUCUUCGCAAACAAAGAAGUAGAUUUUAAUCUACCAAACAACAAGCAACAUACCCCGCGAGAAAUUUCAGUUAGCAGUACUCCAACCGGGUUGUACUGCCUGUCGCACUCAUGGAUUUUGAUACAACAAGCUCUCAUAUCUGCCGACGCUACACUUCAUAUCUGUCGGCGAAAUAUCAUGAAAAAGGGACCUAGUAGCCAAUCUGACGCUAAGAUUGAUGCGGUAAUAUCAAACUCAACGCAAUUUCUCGGCCUUGGCUUAGCAUUAAUUACAACAAUGGCUUUUGGUGCUGCUUUCGCCUUACCUGGGGGUUACAGAGCAGAUGACCACCUUAAGGAAGGAACACCAACUCUAUCUACCGAAAAAGUAUUCUAA